rnacentral:tRNA from 1 species
GUCAUAAUAGCUCAAGGGUAGAGCCAUGUACUGUUAAUACAUUAAUCUUAGUUCGAGUCUAAGUUAUGACG